AUCCUGCCUCUUUCUUGUCUCUCUCCCGCCCUCUCUUCCUCACUUCUCCCGCGCUGGAACACAGCUCCGCCCUGUCACUGUGUCCUCCGUAGCCUGAUCUGAUAACGUCCCGGGAUCUGGGGGAUCUGGUAUCGUUGCGUUGGUCGUGCCUCCUUUGCCGCUCGCCCCACUCUGUCUGCCUCCAUCCCGAGCCGUAGCUGGGAGUUGACCGCGCUCAGUCUUCGAUGGGACCCCGAAGAUAAGGAAGCUUGAUCCUCGAUUUCUCUCAUCCUCCAAGGAAAGUCGGAAGGGAACCAGCCCGUAUCGUCCAGCAAACGCCGCACGU
rnacentral:sRNA from 1 species